AUUGAACGCUGGCGGCAGGCCUAAUACAUGCAAGUCGAACGAGUAGCGAACGGGUGAGCAAAGUCGGGUAAACUGCCCGAGGGAGGGGGCUAAAAACUGAAAACGGAAGCUAAUACCGCAUACCAUAGGAUGAGCCAACAUGGGAUUAGCGAGGAGGUGGGGUAACGGCUUACCUAGGCGAAGAUCCCUAGCUGGUCUGAGAGGAUGACCAGCCACACUGGAACUGAGACACGGUCCAGACUCCUACGGGAGGCAGCAGUGGGGAAUAUUGCACAAUGGGCGAAAGCCUGAUGCAGCCAUGCCGCGUGUAUGAAGAAGGCCUUAGGGUUGUAAAGUACUUUCAGCGGGGAGGCGUUACCCGCAGAAGAAGCACCGGCUAACUCCGUGCCAGCAGCCGCGGUAAUUC
rnacentral:rRNA from 1 species